UACGUAGGGUGCAAGCGUUAAUCGGAAUUACUGGGCGUAAAGCGUGCGCAGGCGGUUAUGUAAGACAGAUGUGAAAUGCCCGGGCUUAACCUGGGAACUGCAUUUGUGACUGCAUGGCUAGAGUUUGGCAGAGGGGGGUAGAAUUCCAUGUGUAGCAGUGAAAUGCGUAGAUAUGUGGAGGAACACCGAUGGCGAAGGCAGCCCCCUGGGUCAAGACUGACGCUCAUGCACGAAAGCGUGGGGAGCAAACAGG
rnacentral:rRNA from 1 species